rnacentral:rRNA from 1 species
GUCCAUGCCGUAAACGUUGGGAACUAGAUGUAGGGCCUGUUCCACGGGUUCUGUGUCGUAGCUAACGCAUUAAGUUCCCCGCCUGGGGAGUACGGCCGCAAGGCUAAAACUCAAAGGAAUUGACGGGGGCCCGCACAAGCGGCGGAGCAUGCGGAUUAAUUCGAUGCAACGCGAAGAACCUUACCAAGGCUUGACAUAUAGAAGAACACUGUAGAGAUACAGGACUCUUUGGACACUUCUAUACAGGUGGUGCAUGGUUGUCGU